rnacentral:hammerhead_ribozyme from 1 species
AUCCAGCUGACAAGUCCCAAAUAGGACGAAACACACAACCUGGAU